UGAGUUGGUUCGAUUUUGCUAGUUAGAAACGGUUAAGCGUGUAAUUUAUACGAAUAUUUUAUAGUUAUUUGAUUAUUUAUUUUAUUUAUUUUGUAUCCAUUCAAAAAGUUCAGGGAAUUACAAAAAGAAAACAAUGCAUUAACAAUCAAAAUUUUGUAUAUUUUUAACUAUGUGUGAAAAUUUUAAAACAUAUAUUUUCAAAACAGAGGGAAUAUGUUUUCUGUAACUAGAGAAUAUGUUAAACAUAAAUCAUGUCACCGUAAAUUUAUCAUUCUUGGGUAAAUUAAUUGUGUGUGUGUUCGUAUGUGGUUGGUUCGACUGAAUUAUUGUGUGUAAUAAUGUAAAUCUCGCUGUUUAAUAAAGGCGGGUACCAAAAGUUGUGGUUCAUACACUUACAAGAAUCCUAUUGGGAAAAACAAGAUAGUGAUGUAGAAAUUUCACGUCGAGCAAAUCCAUGUUCGAUU
rnacentral:lncRNA from 1 species